rnacentral:rRNA from 1 species
AUGAUGGGUUUAUGGUUUAGAACUGUUUCAUUUAUAAUAUAACGAAUUUUUUUAAUAGGUGAAAAUACCUAUAGAAAAAUAAUAGACGAGAAGACCCUUAGAGUUUUAAUAAAAAUUUUAUUAUUUAAAAUUAUGUUUUUGUUGGGGCGACAUUUUAUUAAUUAAGAUAGUAAAUAACAUAAAUUAACCACACUAAACAUAUAACUUAAGGUUUAUUAAGAAGAAUAUAACUACCUGAGGGAUAACAGCAUAAU